AGCACCAUGGCUGGGUCAUAUGGUAAGAGCGUGUUCAGUUUUGUAAGAAACCACCAAAUUGUCUUACAAGGAGGCUUGACCAUUAUACAUUCCCAUCAGCAAU
rnacentral:pre_miRNA from 1 species